GGCUUUUUGGUGAAUGUUCCUAACAGCGGGGGAUAAGAGUCGUGAAUGCACACCGACCUAUUUGGCGUUUCUCCGUUUACUUACAGCCAAAAUCCCCCCAGACACGACAACACAAACAGGAGUUUACAAGAGUGGAAAUAAGUUGGCAAAGCAAGCAGACACACCAGGCGCCUGAAGACGGAUUUCUGCACCUAAAAAAAAGUCAUCCUCCUGUUGUAACUAUACUGAAACCUUAUUGUUAAAAAAAAGGCUAAUUAACACUUUUAUUUGCGCAUUUUAUUAAUGUGUAAAAAUGUAAGUGGGAGGGGCAUCGUCCACCAGUAUAAUAAGGAUUUAAUUCUCAUUAACAAUCCAUUACAACGAGGGCGAGCAAAUAAACAAAGCUGCUGUUGCGUCAUUCCGAGAGAGAGAGAGAGAGAGAGAGAGAGAGAGAGAGGAGGUGUGAUGGAUGAUGGAAGACAGAAAUAAAGAACGAAGGAAAGACAGGUGUUGAAAGCUUUGGCAGAUGCUGGUCAGGGAAAGAAGGCAUGCACUCCUUCCGUGGGACUAGACACCAAGAGGCUCCUACAGCCAUGGAUUCAUCUCAACAACACUUCAGCAGGACAUUGAGUGCGAUGACAGAGCUGCGCGUAAAGUCCAUCCCAUGCACGGACUGUCACCAUCUGCGCCUCAGACCGGAGGUGGCACCGCUGCUCCACUCGUCCCAUAGACCCUGAUCCUCUGAUGGAAAUACAACUACAGCCCAUCCUCUUUUUCCUCAGCUCCCCAGGGCGACGACUCAGCACUAAUUACCUGUUAUACCAAUCGGAGAGUGGGACGGCGCGAAAGAAGGAGACUGCUUUUAAGAUGGGAGGAUAUCACAUCUUCCUUCUCACGUCUGCAGUCAGACAGGACGCAUAUUUUGAGUUUCACAGAAGCCUAACUCCACAGAGCUGGAGUCAGGUGGAACAUGACACCUUUUUUUUUCUUCCUUAGUGUGUUACUGUCAUUACAGUGUGGGGGAUUUUUCCUUUCACGGUAACCUGCAGGGAUCAGUGAUAAGGGAAUGUCACCGUAUCCUUUAAAGCACGUGUUAAACUCAUGGCCCGGGGGCCAAAUCCUGCCCUGUGGAACAUCCAAGUUGGCCCCCGGGAGAAAGUAAAAAUGACUCAACAAUAUUUGUAGGGGCUCACAGUUUUCCCGGUGCUUAUAUCGCUUGAUUGCAGUCAUUUUAAUGUUAAACUGUUGAAAAAAGUAAAAAUUCUUACAAAAUUCUUCAAUUUUAAAAGUGUAAAUUUAUUUAAUCCUACAGAUUACACUACAGAUUUAGCUUUUUCAAGUACAAACAAUACAAUUAUACACCCAUAUAUUAUUAUGCAAACAAUCCACAUAUUCACAAAUAGUCUAUAGCUAAUCAGUAUUACUCAAGUCUCUCUUCAUUCCAUUAUUUAUAAGUGAUUGUAAACUGAAUUAUGUUUACCUGCAAUGUGUAUCAUAAAAUAAAGGCACAGAGACAACAUGAGUCA
rnacentral:lncRNA from 1 species